rnacentral:rRNA from 1 species
GACGACGCUGGCGGCGUGGAUUAGGCAUGCAAGUCGAACGGUAUCAUCCUUUCGGGGGUGAGAGAGUGGACGAACUGGUGAGUAACACGUAGGUUAUCUACCCUCAAGACGGGGACAACCCAGGGAAACUUGGGCUAAUACCGGAUGUGAGCAACUUUUAGUUGUUUGAAAGGUGGCGUAAGCUGUCGCUUGGGGAUGAGCCUGCGUCCUAUUAGUUAGGUUGGUGGGGUAACGGCUCACCUAGGCAAUGAUAGGUAGGCGGCCUUAACGGGUGGUCGCCCACACUGGGAUUGAGAUACGGCCCAGACUCCUACGGGAGGCAGCAGUCGAGAAUAGUCUACAAUGGUCGGAAGACUGAUAGUGCGACGCCGCGUGAACGAUGAAUCCCUUCGGGGUGUAAAGUUCUUUUAUAUGUGAGCAGUGCUUCUUAUAUUAACAGUAUGGGGAGAGAGAUAUUAGCAUAUGAAUAAGCAACGGCUAACUCCGUG